rnacentral:rRNA from 1 species
GUGGGGAAUAUUGGACAAUGGGCGCAAGCCUGAUCCAGCCAUGCCGCGUGUGUGAAGAAGGUCUUCGGAUUGUAAAGCACUUUAGGUUGGGAGGAAGGGCAGUAAGUUAAUACCUUGCUGUUUUGACGUUACCGACAGAAUAAGCACCGGCUAACUUCGUGCCAGCAGCCGCGGUAAUACGAAGGGUGCAAGCGUUAAUCGGAAUUACUGGGCGUAAAGCGCGCGUAGGUGGUUUUGUAAGUUGGAGGUGAAAUCCCCGGGAUCAACCUGGGAACUGCCUCCAAAACUGCAUGACUAGAGUACGGUAGAGGGUAGUGGAAUUUCCUGUGUAGCGGUGAAAUGCGUAGAUAUAGGAAGGAACACCAGUGGCGAAGGCGACUACCUGGACUGAUACUGACACUGAGGUGCGAAAGCGUGGGGAGCAAACAGGAUUAGAUACCCGAGUAGUCC